rnacentral:rRNA from 1 species
AUGUCCACCUCCUCCAUCAGUGGCAAGCCGACAUCUAGUGCAGCGCCUCACGGCGAGCUGGAAUUGCUGGAAAUGCGAUUCAAUAAGAAGAAAGAAGAGAUGUAUGAUUUGCUUGUAGCGGUGAAAAGCUCUGAACUUUACCCAGAGUUGUCCUGGGAAGACAUCCAAACUCAUCGGCUCAUCACUCACCUUGCUGCUCAAGUGAAGCCUAGGCCUCAUGACCCAAUUUGGCGCAGGUUUCGACAACUAAGAAGACUCAACGAUUUUAACACUAUAUGUCUUCCUCUGGGAUAUUUUGGUCUGCUCGCCUACUGCGUGGCAACUAACAUGAAAGAAGAUGGCGCUACAAGCAAGAAUAGUGAAGCCAAUUUCGUCUCCGAGCCAAAGAACGAUAUGAACUAG